GAGGCGGUAGCCAAGUGGUUAGGCACUAUUAAAAUAUUUUAAUUACCAGUAAGGUCAAAAUGUAUUUACACCGGGUACUUAGGCAGGUUCGAUUCCUGCCCGCCUCU
rnacentral:tRNA from 1 species